rfam:Clostridiaceae bacterium BRH_c20a BRHa_1001916, whole genome shotgun sequence.
UUUUCGGUGACGAAAGGGUCUGAAGGAAGCUGAUGGCGGUUGUUGGAACGAAACGAGAGUGAACCAGUGUUGGCAUAUGUAGUGGAUAACCCUCCAAAAAGCGGGAACGUCCUAAAAUUAGCUUAGCUACAUGUGUUUAGAUGGUCGUUUUAACAACAGGCGGAGUAAC